CAGAUGUGUAUGGAUCAUCUUACAGACGCUCAAUUGUUAACUCAUUCACGAGUGGAUCAGUGGUUGUCGACACGACGCUUGUGUUCAAUGAUGACAGCUCAGUUCCCUCAGUAAGCAAUGCAACUACAGAACUCCGCAGUGUAUUUACGAGCAGCUCUACCUCCCUGAACAUUAUAUCAGGCACUGUUAAUGCAACCUCUUCUUCUUCUGCUGCUUCCACCGCUGCAACAACUACAACUACAGCAACUGCUACAACCACAGAAACCACCACCAC